rnacentral:rRNA from 1 species
UACGGGGGGGGGCAAGCGUUGUUCGGAAUUACUGGGCGUAAAGGGCUCGUAGGUGGCCAACUAAGUCAGACGUGAAAUCCCUCGGCUUAACCUGGGGGCUGCAUUUGAUACGUGUGGGCUUGAGUGGGGAAGAGGGUCGUGGAAUUCCCCAGUGUAGAGGUGAAAUUCGUAGAUAUUGGGAAGAACACCGGUGGCGAAGGCGGCGACCUGGUCCUUGACUGACGCUGAGGCGCGAAAGCGUGGGGAGCAAACAGG